rnacentral:rRNA from 1 species
UGGACUUGACAUGUUAGUAUUAUCUACAUGAAAGUGUAGAGACAGUUUUCGGACCGGAACUAACACAGGUGUUGCAUGGCUGUCGUCAGCUCGUGCCGUGAGGUGUUGGGUUAAGUCCCAUAACGAGCGAAACCUUUAUCCUUAGUUGCCAGCGAGUAAUGUCGGGGACUCUAGGGAGACUGCGUACGUUAAGUGCGAGGAAGGCGGAGACGACGUCAAGUCAUCAUGGCCCUUAUGUCCAGGGCUACACACGUGCUACAAUGGUAGAGACAAAGGGAAGCGAGAUCGUAAGGUUAAGCAAAUCUCAAAAACUCUAUCUCAGUUCGGAUUGAGGGCUGCAAUUCGCCCUCAUGAAGUUGGAAUCGCUAGUAAUCGUGGGUCAGCGAUACCACGGUGAAUGUGUUCCUGAGCCU